UAGUUUAACCACUAAUAUUUAUUCAACCUUCUGCAUCAGAGCACCCACCAGGCCAGAUCCUGCCACUCUUGCUGCAGUGCUUACUCUGCAGGUCUCAUGCGAGAGGGAGAGGAGCGCAGUACAGUUUUGCUGAGUGGGGACUGGUGCCACAGAUGGGUUAACUGAAAGCCCUAGAAACACUGGAUCUGCUGGGAACAACGUGCACUUCCUUUCUGCAGUCCCAGGAAUGACCUUAAACAAAGAUAUUGUUUGCUGUGGGCCGCGCUCUGUCGUCCCUGCUAGCCGUGAUUAUCGAACAGCUUAGCAAACGGCUCGAUGAAAACAGGGCUGCUCGUGGGAUAGGAAACCUCAGCGUGCGCAGCAGCUCAGGGACCGGUCCCCAGGCUCCUACUUUUCUGAGUGCUGCUCAGAGGAGGCUAAACACUGCUCAACAAGGCUGAAAUGAACAGGGCAAUUGACUGAUGGCUUUGAUUGAAACCAGAAGUAAGUUUUGCUGUUUUCUUUUUAAACACGGGUUUAAAUAGACAUCACUUAGAAGAGUAAUAUCGAUCAGAAGAUAAACCCUGUGCAUGAGAGGACCCUGAAGGUGAAAAGUACCAUUAAGGAGGUUAAAAGAAUCUGCCCUGUAUGACAAGCUGCUCUCUGUGUGACAGGACAGAAAGCACCGGGAGGGAGAUAAGAAGAUUACGAGGUCAGAUUCCAGGUUACGGAAACCUCGGUGGCUUGCUCUGUCCUGGGCACCUCUGCAUGGGCUGCAGGCAAGAGCCUAAUGUGUGCCAGCUGUAGUGGGUUUAGUGCUGCUCAUGUCUCUCCUCUGGGAACUGGCCCAAACCCAUCGGCUAAUUCUUGCACACCAGCAGCUCUUGGGGUAGGAGAAAAUUUGGCGUUUGUAGCUGCCUGGCCUGAAGGAGCCUGACAGAGAGGGAGGGGAAAAGCCCAGUAUUUCAUGACAGGUCCUCUGAGUCAUCUAGCGAAACACAUUUUCCUGCCAUAACCCCAGCAGACCCGGGGUCGACUCUCCUGCCGGCUGAGGCUCAGGGCUGGGGGCUUGCCCCGGGUCGGUGCUGCGAGGCAGGCGGCAGGAGCUGCGGGUCUGCAGCUCCAGCUCCAGGAGGGCCCAGAAGCUGCCAGAGCCGGAACCUGUCCCAACAACAUCAGUAAAACGGGUUUAUGCCAGUCCUGCAGAAGAAACCCUGCUGCCACCCACCCCUGGGCUGCCACCUUCAGCACAGAGCCAGCACCUGCAGCUUGUUAGCCCUCAUUAUUAUUAAAGCUUGUUUUUCCUGUCCCCAGGUGAACACCACGAGGCAUAGGGCUGAUGCCCUUUUCCCAGCCUUUCCAGGGAGAAGGAGGCCCCAGUUCAAUGAAGUGGUUGCUCUACUCUGUUAUAACAUGUCCCUUGUGUUAAGCUCGGGUAGGGUGACGUUGUUGGUUUGACUCAUUCUGUCCUGCUGGGGGUAGAAGACCCCCUAGAAGGGGGAGUUCUCCUGUGACAUCCACAACCCCUGAAAUACACUGCAUGCCCAUGUACAAUGAGACGUGGAUGUGAAAAUAGCAAAAAGACCACUGCUUAGGAAGAUGGAACAGCUGAUAUUCAGGGGUCAGACGUACAGUCUUUAUGGUGUUUACAUUUUAAAUCAGUGAGUUCUGAAAGGUCGUUUUAAUUAUUUAGGCUGUUUGUUUGUCUCUUCUUUCUCACUUUCCCCAGCUGUACCAGCACGUUGCCCCUUCUUUUUGCUUUACCAGUCUUGCUGCUCAGUUUCAGGGUCACAACUGCUUGUGAGUGUAGAGCAAAGAGUGUCUUUCUACCAGGCUACCCUCAUAAUCCAAAGAAAAAGCUGUUUUCUCUAGUUUAAAGAGUCACGUGAAUGUUUCCAUUAGUAUGCAGUUUUUAAACAUUGUUUGUUUUACAAUAUUGAUUUUGUGGUGAGUUCAGGCGCAAAUACAUUCACAUGCAUGCAAGCAUGCUUAUUCUACAUAGCAUAUUGGCAGCCUAACCUGCCUGCUAGCUCUCUUUGCUAGUGCUCUUCUGCAACAAAAUCCAGAAUGCUACAAGCAGUCCAACAUAGGACUUGCUGGCGUUUUAAAUGUGUAUGUGCUUAUGUGUUUUUUGUUUUUUGUUUUUUUUUCCUUGGGGGGGUUGGGAGGGGUGUAUAUAUACAUGUGUGUGAGAGACUUAAAUUUUGGCUUAUCUUUAAGAUUAAUGGAUGUGUUGACUGCACAUAAGAAAUGUGUAAACCUCUAAGACUGUUGAGGUCACUACAGAAAUGUCAAGAACGAAAUCACACUGUUUACAAUAUGUCCAAAAAUAUACAAUACCAGACGACACCCCACAAGCGACAUUAUACUGAAAGACAGCUAUUAGAGCCAAUGUAAAACAUAUGCUGUUGGACUCCACACAUCAAAGAUUUAUCUACGAAUUGCAGAUAGCAGGCCACUGUAAGAUAUAGGUAUGAAAGUAUUUUAGGUUCCCUAGUAAAAAAGUAGUGGAUGGGCACAUUUGUAACUGACACCUACUAAUUACUGGUAAGAUACUGCAAGAAGCUGACCCCGCGUCUCCAUUCAAAUGCCAGGGCACAGUGCAAGAACUGCAGGACCUGAUCGUCCCAUGUGGAGAACAAUGAGGCUGAGGAGGACUUUAUCGUAACAGCCAGGUGUUACCUUGCCCUUAUUAGAAGUGGCACAGGCAUGUUCUGGGCAGAAUUUGUGUCCAGCACUUAAUGAACAUCAGUGCUGAAGCCUCAACAAGUCCUGCAAACAUGGAAGAGAAUAGAGUCAAAACUACUGAGCACCUGGAGACCUCCUGGCAUCCUCCGUCCUGCCUCUGGAACCCUUUCCUCGGAGAGCCACCAGCAGCCUCUCUCAGGAUGAGGGCAGUGCGUGAGCUGCCCCCUGCUCUGAUCCGCUACAGCUAUCCAUGGGCCAUUUUGCAUCGUUUUGUGUUUGAGAGGGAAAGAAAGCGGCCAAACGGAUUCAAAACAAGUGCUGAUGAAUGUGAAUCUACCCCAAGGUCUCUCACUAACCUGCCCUGCAAUCUCAUAGAAAAUGAACCGAAGACCCCACUUAGAGGCAAGGUGUGAAGGAGAUUGACAAACGUGAGACCUGGCUGUCUGGCCCGGAGCAGCCGUGUGUUCUGACGUGACCUGGUGCAGGCGGGUGAGUGCCCAGCGGCAGCUCCUGUGUGACCGAGGCCGAGUGUUGCCUUUCCUCUGCCAGGACGUGAGGAGCCCACCCCGUCUGGGGCUUGUACCCACAGCAGGACUGAGGCUGCUCCACGCAGCCCCGCACGCCUCUGCCCUCCCGUGCAGCCCAGCCCCGAGCACCUGCGGUACCCACGGGGUCCCCGCGCAGAGGCAGAGGUGGCCCCAGGAGCCUGUCCCGUGCACGUCUGCUGAGUCAAACCCCACCAUCUCCCAUGUGCAAGGGCGAGUUUUCUUCCCAAAUCCACAGGGCACUUUAUGGUUACCUUGCACACAAACCCCACUAAAUAAAUAGAUGUUUAUGCCCCCCUGUAUUAAAGUGAUUAGGUCCUUUUUUUUUUUUUCUUUGACAGUGUUGAGUCAAUAUAACCUGAGUAAUUGCAUGAGUAACUCAUGUUUCCCCUAAAGGGAAACUGUUCUCGUGUAAAUAUAUUUAUUAAUAAUUAAAGUGUUUUUGAGUUCUUAUGCACACAGCCCCUCUCCCCCACAGAGAUAUCUGAAAAGCUGUUGUCUUUAAACCUGCACAGAAGUCACACAGGAGAAGGGAUUUUGGCAGGGGGGUGAAUGCCUAUUGCAGGAGGCAUGUGGUUUAAUUUUGACCUUUCCUUUUUUCUUCCUGAACAAAAAAAUAAUGGUGAGAUCUGUGUAUGAGAGAUUUAAAAACCUCUACUACUCCAUUAGGAGCAUUACCCUGAAAUACUCACUAGAGCUUCUAACAGCCCAGAUAAUAGGGGUGGGAAAUCAUUUCUGGAAAAUAUUCCCCUCAAAGCAUCUUACCAGAGGAUUGUUUCCUAACAACAACAAUAAAAUCUUUGUCAAACAAUCCUUCAAUACCACAAAUAUUUUGGCUUUAAUUGUAUCAGUGUAGCUAACUGCUCACCAUAGGAAAUGGGAGUCAGAGCUCCUGGGGGAUUUUUUUUCUUACAAAGCAACUACUGAAUACCUUUGGGUAAGUCAAACAUUUUUCUAUGCUCUUUGGCCUAUAUAUAUAUUUUUUUUAUUUUUAACUGACUGUAAUCUGGAACCUAAUUUGAUAUGCCUUAAACGGCUGAUUCCACAUGGAAGAUGCUCUACUAUCAGGAUAAGCAGCCAUAAGAAAUCCUAAAAUAGGCAGAUUAAGGGUUUGGGAUCAUGGGGGUUUAUUUCCAUGCAAUUAAAGACACGAUCACAUUUAAAUAUUGCUAUCUUGUAGUUUAAAAAAAGAUCCAACAACUGGGAGUCCCACAUUCAGAAACAGCUAAUAACUCUACUAAUUAAGGAUAUGAUUACCAGAGAC